rnacentral:rRNA from 1 species
GACGAACGCUGGCGGCGUGCUUAACACAUGCAAGUCGAACGAGGUCCACCGCGUAGCAAUACAAGGGAAGACCUAGUGGCGAACGGGUGCGUAACACGUGAGGAACUUGUCCCGGUCUCUGGGAUAACAGUUGGAAACGACUGCUAAUACCGGAUGACGUCGGAGCAUCGCAUGGUGCGCUGACGAAAGGGUUACUGGAUCGGGAGAGCCUCGCGGCCUAUCAGCUUGUUGGUGGGGUAACGGCCUACCAAGGCAUCGACGGGUAGCUGGUCUGAGAGGAUGAUCAGCCACACUGGGACUGAGACACGGCCCAGACUCCUACGGGAGGCAGCAGUGGGGAAUCUUGCGCAAUGGGCGAAAGCCUGACGCAGCAACGCCGCGUGCGGGAAGAAGGCCCUCGGGUGUAAACCGCUUUCAGCAGGACGAAAAUGACGGUACUUGCAGAAGAAGGUGCGGCCGAACCACGUGCCAGCAGCCGCGGU